rnacentral:rRNA from 1 species
AACGAACGCUGGCGGCAUGCCUAACACAUGCAAGUCGAACGAGAUCUUCGGGUCUAGUGGCGCACGGGUGCGUAACGCGUGGGAAUCUGCCCUUUGGUUCGGAAUAACAGUUGGAAACGACUGCUAAUACCGGAUGAUGACGAAAGUCCAAAGAUUUAUCGCCAGAGGAUGAGCCCGCGUAGGAUUAGCUAGUUGGUGUGGUAAAGGCGCACCAAGGCGACGAUCCUUAGCUGGUCUGAGAGGAUGAUCAACCACACUGGGACUGAGACACGGCCCAGACUCCUACGGGAGGCAGCAGUGGGGAAUAUUGGACAAUGGGCGAAAGCCUGAUCCAGCAAUGCCGCAUGAGUGAUGAAGGCCUUAGGGUUGUAAAGCUCUUUUACCCGGGAUGAUAAUGACAGUACCGGGGGAAUAAGCUCCGGCUAACUCCGUGCCAGCAGCCGCCGUAA